CCAAUAGCGUAUAUUAAAGUUGUUGCAGUUAAAAAGCUCGUAGUUGAAUUUCGGGAUUGACCCAUCGGUCGUGCCUUAAGGGGUAUGAACUGGUGUAGUCAAUUUCUCACCUUCUGGAGAACCGCGAUGUCCUUAAUUGGGUGCCGCGAGGAACCAGGACCUUUACUUUGAAAAAAUUAGAGUGUUUAAAGCAGGCAUUUUUGCUUGAAUCCAUUAGCAUGGAAUAAUAAAAUAGGACGGCAUGAUUCUAUUUUGUUGGUUUCUAGGAUCACCGUAAUGAUUAAUAGGGAUAGUUGGGGGCAUUAGUAUUCAAUUGUCAGAGGUGAAAUUCUUGGAUUUAUUGAAGACUAACUACUGCUAAAGCAUUUGCCAAGGAUGUUUUCAUUAAUCAAGAACGAAAGUUAGGGGAUCGAAGACGAUCAGAUACCGUCGUAGUCUUAACCAUAAACUAUGCCGACUAGGAAUCAGACGAUGUUAAUUUUUUAAUGACUCGUUUGGCACCUUACG
rnacentral:rRNA from 1 species